AAAACCGGUUCCUGUACGAUCACUUCAGUUAAGCAACGUUGACUCUGAUGAGUACCAAGAUGGGUGACCGCUUGGGAAUACCAGGUGCUGUAA